rnacentral:rRNA from 1 species
ACCUGCCCCUGACUCUGGGAUAAGCCUGGGAAACCGGGUCUAAUACCGGAUAUGACACAUGGCCGCAUGGUCUGUGUGUGGAAAGUUUUUUCGGUUGGGGAUGGGCUCGCGGCCUAUCAGCUUGUUGGUGGGGUGAUGGCCUACCAAGGCGACGACGGGUAGCCGGCCUGAGAGGGCGACCGGCCACACUGGGACUGAGACACGGCCCAGACUCCUACGGGAGGCAGCAGUGGGGAAUAUUGCGCAAUGGGCGGAAGCCUGACGCAGCGACGCCGCGUGGGGGAUGACGGCCUUCGGGUUGUAAACCUCUUUCAGCAGGGACGAAGUUGACGUGUACCUGUAGAAGAAGCGCCGGCUAACUACGUGCCAGCAGCCGCGGUAAUACGUAGGGCGCGAGCGUUGUCCGGAAUUAUUGGGCGUAAAGAGCUCGUAGGUGGCUUGUCGCGUCUGCCGUGAAAGCUCGUGGCUUAACUACGGGUCUGCGGUGGAUACGGGCAGGCUGGAGGCUGGUAGGGGCAAGUGGAAUUCCUGGUGUAGCGGUGAAAUGCGCAGAUAUCAGGAGGAACACCGGUGGCGAAGGCGGCUUGCUGGGCCAGUUCUGA